rnacentral:tRNA from 1 species
GGGGCUAUAGCUCAGCUGGGAGAGCGCCCUGCCUUGCACGCAGGAGGUCAGCGGUUCGAUCCCGCUUAGCUCCACCA